rnacentral:rRNA from 1 species
UACGUAGGGGGCUAGCGUUGUCCGGAAUCAUUGGGCGUAAAGAGCGUGUAGGCGGUCCGGUAAGUCCGCUGUGAAAGUCGGGGGCUCAACCCUCGAAUGCCGGUGGAUACUGUCGGGCUAGAGUGCGGAAGAGGCGAGUGGAAUUCCUGGUGUAGCGGUGAAAUGCGCAGAUAUCAGGAGGAACACCGAUGGCGAAGGCAGCCCCCUGGGCCGACACUGACGCUCAGGCACGAAAGCGUGGGGAGCAAACAGG